rnacentral:rRNA from 2 species
GGGAUUAGUGGCGAACGGGUGAGUAACACGUGAGUAACCUGCCCUUGACUCUGGGAUAAGCCUGGGAAACCGGGUCUAAUACUGGAUAUGACCUUCCCGCGCAUGCGGUGUUGGUGGAAAGCUUUUGUGGUUUUGGAUGGACUCGCGGCCUAUCAGCUUGUUGGUGGGGUAAUGGCCUACCAAGGCGACGACGGGUAGCCGGCCUGAGAGGGUGACCGGCCACACUGGGACUGAGACACGGCCCAGACUCCUACGGGAGGCAGCAGUGGGGAAUAUUGCACAAUGGGCGCAAGCCUGAUGCAGCGACGCCGCGUGAGGGAUGAAGGCCUUCGGGUUGUAAACCUCUUUCAGUAGGGAAGAAGCUGAUUCCUUUUGGGGUUGGUGACGGUACCUGCAGAAGAAGCGCCGGCUAACUACGUGCCAGCAGCCGCGGUAAUACGUAGGGCGCAAGCGUUAUCCGGAAUUAUUGGGCGUAAAGAGCUCGUAGGCGGUUUGUCGCGUCUGCCGUGAAAGUCCGGGGCUUAACUCCGGAUCUGCGGUGGGUACGGGCAGACUAGAGUGCAGUAGGGGAGACUGGAAUUCCUGGUGUAGCGGUGAAAUGCGCAGAUAUCAGGAGGAACACCGAUGGCGAAGGCAGGUCUCUGGGCUGUAACUGACGCUGAGGAGCGAAAGCAUGGGGAGCGAACAGGAUUAGAUACCCUGGUAGUCCAUGCCGUAAACGUUGGGCACUAGGUGUGGGGGACAUUCCACGUUUUCCGCGCCGUAGCUAACGCAUUAAGUGCCCCGCCUGGGGAGUACGGCCGCAAGGCUAAAACUCAAAGGAAUUGACGGGGGCCCGCACAAGCGGCGGAGCAUGCGGAUUAAUUCGAUGCAACGCGAAGAACCUUACCAAGGCUUGACAUGAACCGGAAUGAUGCAGAGAUGUGUCA